rnacentral:tRNA from 1 species
GGGGCAGUAGUAUAGCCAGGUAUUACGAUGGGCUCCAGACCCAUUGGUCGUCGGUUCAAAUCCGAUCUGUCCCACCA